GAUGAACGCUGGCGGCGUGCCUAACACAUGCAAGUCGAACGAACCUAAUCUUCGGAAAGGGUUAGUGGCGCACGGGUGAGUAACACGUAGGUGACCUGCCCCGAAGUGGGGGAUAACUUCUCGAAAGAGAAGCUAAUACCGCAUAUGCUCAGCCAUUCAGUUGGUUGAGUAAAGCUCCGGCGCUUCGGGAGGGGCCUGCGUCCGAUUAGCUAGUUGGUGGGGUAAUGGCCUACCAAGGCGAUGAUCGGUAGCUGGUCUGAGAGGACGAUCAGCCACACUGGCACUGACACACGGGCCAGACUCCUACGGGAGGCAGCAGUGAGGAAUAUUGGUCAAUGGGCGAAAGCCUGAACCAGUAACGCCGCGUGAGGGAUGAAGGCCUCGGUCGUAACCGUACUUUCUUGGUA
rnacentral:rRNA from 1 species